AGACGUAGGAUGCGAGCGUUGUCCGGAUUCAUUGGGCGUAAAGAGUUCGUAGGCGGUUUGUUAAGUCUGGUGUUAAAGAUCAGGGCCCAACCCUGGGAGUGCAUUGGAUACUGGCAGACUCGAGUGCAGUAGAGGCAAGUGGAAUUCCCAGUGUAGCGGUGAAAUGCGUAGAUAUUGGGAAGAACACCGGUGGCGCAGGCGACUUGCUGGGCUGUUACUGACGCUGAGGAACGAAAGCUAGGGGAGCAAAUGGGAUUAGAUACCCCAGUAGUCCUAGCUGUAAACGAUGGAUACUAGGCGUUGCAGGUAUCGACCCCUGCAGUGCCGCAGUUAACGCGAUAAGUAUCCCGCCUGAGUAGUACGGCCGCAAGGUUGAA
rnacentral:rRNA from 1 species